GACGAACGCUGGCGGCGUGCCUAAUACAUGCAAGUAGAACGCUGAAGAGAGGAGCUUGCUCUUCUUGGAUGAGUUGCGAACGGGUGAGUAACGCGUAGGUAACCUGCCUUGUAGCGGGGGAUAACUAUUGGAAACGAUAGCUAAUACCGCAUAACAAUGGAUGACACAUGUCAUUUAUUUGAAAGGGGCAAUUGCUCCACUACAAGAUGGACCUGCGUUGUAUUAGCUAGUAGGUGAGGUAACGGCUCACCUAGGCGACGAUACAUAGCCGACCUGAGAGGGUGAUCGGCCACACUGGGACUGAGACACGGCCCAGACUCCCACGGGAGGCAGCAGUAGGGAAUCUUCGGCAAUGGGGGCAACCCUGACCGAGCAACGCCGCGUGAGUGAAGAAGGUUUUCGGAUCGUAAAGCUCUGUUGUAAGUCAAGAACGAGUGUGAGAGUGGAAAGU
rnacentral:rRNA from 1 species